rnacentral:rRNA from 1 species
UACAGGGGGUGCAAACGUUGCUCGGAAUCAUUGGGCGUAAAGCGCACGUAGGCGGUUUGUUAUGUCGGAUGUGAAAGCCCUUGGCUCAACUAAGGAAGUGCAUCCGAAACUGGCAAGCUGGAGUACUAAAAAGGGUCGCGGAAUUCCCGGUGUAGAGGUGAAAUUCGUAGAUAUCGGGAAGAACACCCGUGGCGAAGGCGGCACUCUGGGACGGUACUGACGCUGAGACGCGAAAGCGUGGGGAGCGAACAGG